UACGGGGGGAGCAAGCGUUGUUCGGAUUUACUGGGCGUAAAGGGCGCGUAGGCGGCCACCGCAAGUCGAUUGUGAAAUCUCCGGGCUUAACCCGGAAAGGUCAACCGAUACUGCGGGGCUAGAGUGCAGAAGGGGCAACUGGAAUUCUCGGUGUAGCGGUGAAAUGCGUAGAUAUGUGGAGGAAUACCGAUGGCGAAGGCAGCCCCCUGGGAUAACACUGACGCUCAUGCACGAAAGCGUGGGGAGCAAACAGG
rnacentral:rRNA from 1 species